CGUAGGUGGCAAGCGUUGUCCGGAUUUAUGGGUUUAAAGGGUGCGUAGGCGGCCCUGUAAGUCAGUGGUGAAAUACUCCAGCUUAACUGGAGGGGUGCCAUUGAUACUGCAGGGCUUGAGUACAGAUGAAGUAGGCGGAAUUGACGGUGUAGCGGUGAAAUGCAUAGAUAUCGUCAAGAACUCCGAUAGCGAAGGCAGCUUACUAAGCUGUAACUGACGCUGAGGCACGAAAGUGUGGGGAUCAAACAGGAUUAGAUACCCUGGUAGUCCACACUGUAAACGUUGAUGACUCGAUGUUGGCGAUACACAGCCAGCGUCCAAGAGCAAUCGUUAAGUCAUCCACCUGGGGAGUACGCCGGCAACGGUG
rnacentral:rRNA from 1 species